GAUGAACGCUGACAGAAUGCUUAACACAUGCAAGUCUUUGGCGAAGCUGUGCUUGCACAGCCUAGCCAAGGCGGACGGGUGAGUAACGCGUAAGGAACUUGCCCUGCAGUCAGGGAUAACAGACGGAAACGACUGAUAAGACCUGGUAAAGUCAGGCGGACUCAUGUCCAGCCUGAUGAAAAGAGAUGCUGCAGGAGAGCCUUGCGUCCUAUUAGCUUGUUGGUGGGGUAACGGCCCACCAAGGCGAUGAUAGGUAGCCGGCCUGAGAGGGUGGACGGCCACAAGGGGACUGAGAUACGGGCCGUACUCCUACGGGAGGCAGCAGUGGGGAAUAUUGGACAAUGGGGGCAACCCUGAUCCAGCAAUUCUGUGUGCACGAUGAAGGUUUUCGGAUUGUAAAGUGCUUUCAGCAGGGAAGAAAAAAUGACGGUACCUGCAGAAGAAGCGACGGCUAAAUACGUG
rnacentral:rRNA from 1 species